GGGCCCGUAGCCUAGCCAGGAUAAGGGCGCCGGCCUUCGGAGCCGGAGGUCCCGGGUUCAAAUCCCGGCGGGCCCG
rnacentral:tRNA from 1 species